rnacentral:rRNA from 1 species
GACGAACGCUGGCGGCGUGCUUAACACAUGCAAGUCGAACGGAAAGGCCCUGCUUUUGUGGGGUGCUCGAGUGGCGAACGGGUGAGUAACACGUGAGUAACCUGCCCUUGACUUUGGGAUAACUUCAGGAAACUGGGGCUAAUACCGGAUAGGAGCUCCUGCUGCAUGGUGGGGGUUGGAAAGUUUCGGCGGUUGGGGAUGGACUCGCGGCUUAUCAGCUUGUUGGUGGGGUAGUGGCUUACCAAGGCUGUGACGGGUAGCCGGCCUGAGAGGGUGGCCGGCCACAUUGGGACUGAGAUACGGCCCAGACUCCUACGGGAGGCAGCAGUGGGGAAUAUUGCACAAUGGGCGGAAGCCUGAUGCAGCAACGCCGCGUGCGGGAUGACGGCCUUCGGGUUGUAAACCGCUUUCGCCUGUGACGAAGCGUGAGUGACGGUAAUGGGUAAAGAAGCACCGGCUAACUACGUG